rnacentral:lncRNA from 1 species
UGUGGCUGAUAAAACCAACUCAACUGGAAAAGAGCUCUUUGAGCCUGGCCUUGUAGACAAACUUUAAGUCUUUACUGUGGAACCAUCCAAGAUGACUAGCCUUUUCAAGUGGCAUAAGCCUAGAGGGAUUAGAACCACAACAAGAGGCCCAAGAACAGAGAUUCAAGACAAUGAGAGCCUUAGUUUUUUCUGUCUUAUAGAUUUUGAGAAUGGAGAAAGGAUUCAGUGUUUGGUGAGUGUCCUCUUCCUGUGUCCUCAGUUGGAGAAAGGGAUAUUUGGCUCUCUGGGAUCUUCAUAAAGUUAACAGAGAGAACUUCACAUGAAUCCUGUGGAGGACUGAAUGGUGGUUUCUCAAGGUCUUCAACUUACUACAUGUGAAUGCAAUCUUAUUUGGGGGGAAGAAAGAGUUUUGGUGGAUGCACAGUAAUUAAGACUAUCAAGAUGAGAUGAUCCUGGAUUAAUCAGGCGGGCUCAACUCCAAGGUCCAGUGUAUUUAUGAAAGACAGAAGAGGAAAAGGCCAUGUGAAGACAGAGGCAGAGAUUGGAAGCGUGCCAUCCAUCACAAACCAAGGAACACACCCAACUGCCAGAAGAGGGAAGAAGUAAGGAAGGUUCUCCCCUGAGCUUCCAAAGGGAGCACAGCCUUGCUGACCUUGAUUUUGGUCCUUUGGCUUCCAGAACCAUGAGAGAAUAAAUUUCUAUUGUUUAAAAU